UCCCCAGCAGCCCAGUGGUUAAGGCUCUGUUCUUCCACUGUAGGGAGCGUGGGUUCAAUCCCCGUUUGGGGAA
rnacentral:tRNA from 1 species